UACGUAGGGUGCAAGCGUUAAUCGGAAUUACUGGGCGUAAAGCGUGCGCAGGCGGUUAUGCAAGGCAGAGGUGAAAUCCCCGGGCUCAACCUGGGAACUGCCUUUGUGACUGCAUAGCUAGAGUACGGUAGAGGGGGAUGGAAUUCCGCGUGUAGCAGUGAAAUGCGUAGAUAUGCGGAGGAACACCGAUGGCGAAGGCAAUCCCCUGGACCUGUACUGACGCUCACGCACGAAAGCGUGGGGAGCAAACAGG
rnacentral:rRNA from 1 species